UACGUAGGGGGCAAGCGUUAUCCGGAAUUACUGGGUGUAAAGGGUGAGUAGGCGGCAUGGUAAGCCAGAUGUGAAAGCCUUGGGCUUAACCCGAGGAUUGCAUUUGGAACUAUCAAGCUAGAGUACAGGAGAGGAAAGCGGAAUUCCUAGUGUAGCGGUGAAAUGCGUAGAUAUUAGGAAGGACACCAGUGGCGAAGGCGGCUUUCUGGACUGAAACUGACGCUGAGGCACGAAAGCGUGGGGAGCGAACAGG
rnacentral:rRNA from 1 species